UACUGCUCAGUAACACGUGGCUAAUCUGCCCUUAGGACGCGAACAACCCCGGGAAACUGGGGCUAAUUCUCGAUAGGUGAAGAACUCUGGAAUGAGUCUUUGCCUAAAAGAGCUUACGUUAUGCUCGUAAGUUUCACCUAAGGAUGAGGCCGCGACCGAUCAGGUAGUUGGUGAGGCAAUGGCUCACCAAGCCUUUAACCGGUGCGGGCCGUGGGAGCGGGAGCCCGGAGAUGGGCACUGAGACAAGGGCCCAGGCCCUACGGGGCGCAGCAGUCGCGAAAACUUUGCAAUAAGCGAAAGCUUGACAGGGCUAUCCCGAGUGCCAUCCGCUGAGGAAGGCUUUUACCCAGUCUAGUAAGCUGGGGGAAUAAGGAGAGGGCAAGUCUGGUGUCAGCCGCCGCGGUAAUACCAGCUCUCCGAGUGGUGUGGAUGUUUAUUGGGCCUAAAGCAUCCGUAGCUGGCUGAGUUAGUCCCCUGUUAAAUCCACCGAAUCAAUCGUUGGAUUGCGGGGGAUACUGCUCGGCUAGGGGACGGGAGAGGCAGACGGUAUUUCCGGGGUAAGGGUGAAAUCUUAUAAUCCCGGGAAGACCACCAGUGGCGAAGGCUGUCUGCUAGAACGCGCCCGACGGUGAGGGAUGAAAGCUGGGGUAGCGAACCGGAUUAGAUACCCGGGUAGUCCCAGCCGUAAACGAUGCAGGCUAGGUGUUUGGGCGGCCACGUGCCGCUCUAGUGCCGCAGGGAAGCUGUUAAGCCUGCCGCCUGGGGAGUACGAUCGCAAGAUUGAAACUUAAAGGAAUUGGCGGGGGAGCACAAUCA
rnacentral:rRNA from 1 species